UACGGAGGGUGCUAGCGUUGUUCGGAAUUACUGGGCGUAAAGCGCGCGUAGGCGGCUUUGUAAGUUAGAGGUGAAAGCCCGGAGCUCAACUCCGGAAUAGCCUUUAAGACUGCAUCGCUAGAACGUUGGAGAGGUAAGUGGAAUUCCGAGUGUAGAGGUGAAAUUCGUAGAUAUUCGGAAGAACACCAGUGGCGAAGGCGACUUACUGGACAACUGUUGACGCUGAGGUGCGAAAGCGUGGGGAGCAAACAGG
rnacentral:rRNA from 1 species